rnacentral:lncRNA from 1 species
UCUUAUUAUGAAUAUGCGCAUUUGUUUACAAACAAGAGAAAAGUCCGGUCACGUGAUAUGCAAAUUAGUGACUGUGGCAGUGAUGUUAUGUUAGUCAUCGCUGUGCCGGAGUGUGUGGGUCAAGGUCACGGCUUGGGUAAGUCAGAAGGUUAACAACAUGACAGUUUACCCAUCAGGUGUGAGAUAAACAGGGUCAGUUAGUAAAAGAUUAUGAGGACUAAAACAAGAAUAUCCACCAAUCACUAGCAUUUAUAUCCUCCCCAACUAUAAAAGCUAAUAUCAUCAUCCUGCGAUGGUCAGUCACUGCCACCAUGUCACUCGGCCUGACCAGUUGAUGCGUUAGCUCUGCACAGUGCAGGAAAGGUAUACACUGUGCAUAUAGGAUGUAAGUGUGCAUGUGCAUUUAACUGUAUGAGUGUAUAUUUGUAAAUGUCUCAUUGUAUCAGUGUAAAUGUCUCAUUGUGUCAGUGUAAAUGUCUCAUUUUGUCAGUGUAAAUGUAUCUUGUGUAGGGGUGGUGGGGUAGCCUAAUGGUUAAAGCGUUGGUUCGUCACACUGAAGACCUUGGUUUGAUUCCCCACAUGGGUACAAUGUGUGAAGCCCAUUUCUGGUUCCCCCUCCGUGAUAUUGCUGGAAUAUUGCUAAAAGCGGCGUAAACCCAAACUCAGUCAGUCAGUAUCUUGUGUAAAUGUAUCAUUGUCUGUGUAAAUGUAUCAGUGUUGGGUAUAUACUGUAAGCUAUGUUUGUGUGAAUGUCCAUUGGUGUACAUACAGUGAUAUUGUUCCACUAUAUACCCAAAUCAUGAUUCUGAUUAUUAUAACAUUUUGACAUUUUAAAGGUUUCUAUGGUAUUGCUUUGGAAUCCUGUAGACUCCCUGGCUGACCCCCAUCUCCCAAACAUUUCACCAAGGGUCUCAAAAGUCAAUCUUUACUAUAACUCUGACAUACUUGUGUGAAGCUCUCCCCUUCCUGCUGGAUGUUCAUAUCAGGUGUUCAUCUAAAAUGUUCAUGUACUUUAUUGAAAGUUGAUGUUCAUAUCAGGUGUUCAUCUAAAAUGUUCAUGUACUUUAUUGAAAGUUGAUGUUCAUAUCAGAUGUUCAUCUAAAAUGUUCAUGUACUUUAUUGAAAGUUGAUGUUCAUAUCAGAUGUUCUUCUAAAAUGUUCAUGUACUUUAUUGAAAGUUGAUGUUCAUAUCAGGUGUUCUUCUAAAAUGUUCAUGUACUUUAUUGAAAGUUGAUGUUCAUAUCAGAUGUUCUUCUAAAAUGCUUAUGUACUUUAAUGAAUGUUGGUUUAAUGCAUGCCUUUUUAUAGCAGAUAACUAUUCUUGUUUGCAGUGCUCAGUGUUCCUCACUUGUUCUGUUAGCAGCUGUAGUUUUUGUUUAUAAGGUAAUAGAUAGAUAUUUAUGUAUGUAAAUUUGUGAAACUCAAAUCAAUGUUCAAAACAACUUCUCUUGAAGAAUGACUCCCACCUGAGAUUGACAAAAUAGCUGUAUGAAGAGAACAUCAUUCUGGAGAUUCAUAUAUUAAUGCAUCACUCAGCAAUACUCCAAUUCUAAUUGUAAAUUAUAAAUUAGUUUGGUCCAGACAAUCCACUGACUGACCUCAUAGGGAUACCAUGUAUUCAUCAGUGAUAUAACAGUUAGCUACAGUCUGGGACAGAAUGUUACCUGCUGCGUUCCAUGUUGAACAUUUCCGGUUUAAAGCCAUUAACAAUCUUAUGCAAUUCAUUGAUUGUAGUCAAUCAUCUCGUGCAUGUACUAGUCAUCUUCAUCAUCAACAUAAAGGAGGGCAGCUAGACAAUGAACUAUAUUUAUUGCACAUUACCAACACCUGCACUUAACAACACCUGCAUUCACUACCCUGAAGAUGCUACUUUAGGAGAAGUGCUUGCAGAUGUACAUAUGUGGAUACCUCAGAAGUCAUGUAUGCACAGGUUACUGUUGACAGGCUGGACCUUAUAUAACUUUGUACUCUGAAUUCCCUUGAACAUUAAGUUAAGAUUAUUGGUGAGGCUGGUGGGCCUGAUGAGGCAAAACUAGUGAGACAAGGAAUUGUAACAUCUCCAACUGGCUUUGACUGUAUGACCUGUUUUACCUCUGUACACAAGGUACAAUUGGUCUUUGAGACAUUUAAAUAAUGGUUUACUAAUUCAUGUGAAACCGAGACCAUUAAAUACUGUCUGUUUUAUGUUCUCUUUGUAAACAGGGCUUAAUGAAAAGUUAAACAAAAUAUCUUCAAAGUCUUACUUUUCAAACUUCAUGUAAGCAUAUACAUGUAUAUACAAUGCCGUCCGGUAAUCCCGCACACCUAAGCACAUCGAACGCAACACGGCAAUUAACGUCUCUUAUUUUUUGUGGUUUAUGUGACUAAACAUGCUGGUAUGCAUCAUAUUUACCUAGAAAUAUAAGUUUUAUUGACGACUAUAAGAUUCUAGCGUUGCAUUAUGCCAUACGGUUGACCUUACCGGCCUUCUGAGGACAUCGCUUGCUGUCUGGUAAUUCUGCGCAGCAACUGAUGCGCAUAACAUCCAGCUGGAGAUCCGAAGUAUGGAAGCGUAUUAGGGCCAGAUAUUUUUAAAAAUCACUUCAUCAAUGUAAGGAAGAGUGUUUCAUAUUAAAUCCAAUUAUGAAUAAUGAAGAUAAAGGUUUAAUAGUCUGAAGAAAACUAAUUUUCACAAAACUGUCAAUUUAUCUGUCAAUUACUGUUAUUUACUUACCUUUAGUGAUUAAAAGCCAGUCCCUUGUAGAAAUGUCCUGAUUUCAAGGGUAAAUGUGGUAGCAGACGAUUUUACCUUCGAUACGGAAGUACGCUAUUGCAGCUGCGCAAAAUUACCGGACGCGCGAAAUUACCGGCCUCGCUUGAAUAUAUAGAUUAUCUGUAAACCAAUAGAUAAAGUCUGCCUGUCAUGGUUACAAAGUCUGAUAUUGAACAAUUUAUAUAUUUUGUUUUUUUGACAUGUCAUUAGUGCAUUUACUGCUCAGUGUAUAUAUACCUAACAUGUGAACAUUGUGGAGCAGCGUGUGAUCUCAGUAAUCCAUGAACAUCUGUCACGAUAAAUAUCAUCAUUGUUUGUUAUGUCUAAUAAAAUCUGAAAAAGAAA